rnacentral:rRNA from 1 species
UAAAGCCGCGAAUGGCUCGGUAUAACAGCUACGGUUUAUUAGAUUUUAGUUAUCUACUUGGAUAACUGUGGUAAUUCUAGAGCUAAUACAUGCACAAAAGCUCGGACCUUACGGAAAGAGCGCAUUUAUUAGAACAAAACCAAUCGGUCGCACGUUUCGGCGUCGGCCGCCAGUUGGUGACUCUGAAUAACUAAGUUGAUCGCACAGUCUUAGAACUGGCGACGUAUCUUUCAAAUAUCUGCCUUAUCAACUUUCGAUGGUAGGUUAUACGCCUACCAUGGUUAUAACGGGUAACGGAGAAUAAGGGUUCGACUCCGGAGAGGGAGCCUGAGAAAUGGCUACCACAUCCAAGGAAGGCAGCAGGCGCGCAAAUUACCCAAUCCCAGUACGGGGAGGUAGUGACGAAAAAUAACGAGAUAGUCCACUAUGUGGCCUGUCAUCGGAAUGGGUACAAUUUAAAUCUUUUAACGAGGAUCUAUUAGAGGGCAAGUCUGGUGCCAGCAGCCGCGGUAAUUCCAGCUCUAAUAGCGUAUAUUAAAGUUGUUGUGGUUAAAACGCCCGUAGUUGAUUUUUCGACUUUGGAGCGUGGUAUCUCGAAAGAGUUUUCACUGCGUCUCCAAGUCUGAAUUUAAGUUUUCUAUGGAUGCUCUUUAUUGAGUGUCCUUAGUGACUUGAACGUUUACUUUGAAAAAAUUAGAGUGCUUAAAGCAAGCUUUCAGCUUGAAUAAAGUGCAUGGGAUAAUGGAAUAGGACUUUAGUCUUAUUUUGUUGGUUUUCGAGAUUAAAGUAAUGAUUAAGAGGAAUAGACGGGGGCAUUCGUAUUGUUGCGUUAGAGGUGAA